rnacentral:rRNA from 1 species
UCGGGAAUUUUGGACAAUGGGCGCAAGCCUGAUCCAGCCAUGCCGCGUGAGUGACGAAGGUCUUCGGAUUGUAAAGCUCUUUUGGCGGGGACGAUAAUGACGGUACCCGCAGAAUAAGCCCCGGCUAACUUCGUGCCAGCAGCCGCGGUAAUACGAAGGGGGCUAGCGUUGUUCGGAAUUACUGGGCGUAAAGCGCACGUAGGCGGACUGAUAAGUCAGGGGUGAAAUCCCGGGGCUCAACCUCGGAACUGCCUUUGAUACUGUUAGUCUCGAGUCCGGAAGAGGUGAGUGGAAUUCCUAGUGUAGAGGUGAAAUUCGUAGAUAUUAGGAAGAACACCGGUGGCGAAGGCGGCUCACUGGAUCGGUACUGACGCUGAGGUGCGAAAGCGUGGGGAGCAAACAGGAUUAGAUACCCGGGUAGUCCCUGAGCGGGCUGGCAAGGCGCAU